UCUAACCCAUUAUAGAUAUAUUGACAAUGAUAGCUAGUAGUUUUGCAUUUUAAUUAAUAAUUGUGAUUAUGAAAUUAUGCUUAUAAUCGUUAGUGUACUUUAGAUGAACUGUUCAUCAAUCGCUAGAAAAUGAAGAAUUUUAUCAAGUAUAGAAUAAAGAGAUAACUCUAGAAGAAAAAGUCAUCUCUGCCUUGAAGUCAAAGGAUCUGGAAGUGAAGUUUACAGGGUUUUUGUUUAUUUUUCUAGGUCUUUAUUUUAUUUUCUGUUUGUGUUAAUUUUUGAUAUUUUUUUACUCUGUUUUCAUAAAUUUCUAAAAAUAAUGUACAAUGUAUAAUUUAUAACUUUCCGUAUAAUUAAAGAUAUUUACAAAAUAUUAGAUUUUUUUGUGAUAUAUUUUAAAAUAUCUUUCUUAAUAUAUGGAAGUAUUAUACGUACGUAGUAGACCAAUUUCUCAUAAUAUAUAUUCUAAUUUUUUGAACGAUUUCGUAUAAAUAUCUCUUUUCCUAAUAAUCCUAUAUAACCUAAUUAUAAAUAACAGUAAUUAACAGUAAUGGCUGGAAAAAAAGAAUAACAAAUUUUUGUGUGACGAAGUUUCAAUAUUUCAUAUCCCUUUUCAACAUUGAUGAGAUGAGAAAAGGGUUAGGAAAUUUUGAAACUUGGUAACAAAAAUUAAUUGGAGACCUCUACAACCGGACUUCGGAAAAGGCGAACUCGUACUCAAGCUCAAAGCAACAAGGUACGUACUCUGUUUAUUUGAUGACAAGGUCAGGCCUGGUUUGAAAGCUCAAUCUUAAAGUUCUCGAUUUGGAUGGCAAACAAGGCCAUCGGGAGUACUGGCUGGUAAUUAAUAAUAAAAUCAUGCACCAAAAUAUUCAAUUCAAUUGUUUAUUUUAUGUGAUUCAAAAUUGCUUAUAUAUAUAUAUAUAUAUAUAUAGAUGUUUUGUUUUUAUUUUCUUGGGCAAUUAAAGCACCCUCAUCUUGUAAACUUGAUCGGUUAUUGUUGCGAAGAUGAACAUAUAUAGGCUUAUUGUCUAUGAAUUCAUGCCUCGGAGAAGCUUAGAGAACCAUAUUUUCAAAGGUUAUUCUGGAACCUUACCGUGGUUAACGAGAAUAAAAAUUGCAAUUGGCUCAUCAGUGUUUGAGCCACAACCCCAAAUCUCGACCCACAAUGAGUAGUGUGGUCAAAUCGUUGGAGCCACUUUUGGGCUUGACUCGUGACAUUUCAGUACCUUUUGUUUAUGUUGUUCGUUCCCACUGAAUUAGGAAGAGAGGAAAAAGUUGAUCAUGAUGAUGAAGAUGUGGUACUUAUGAGUAGUAGAAGUAAUAAUAAUAAUGGAGAUAAUAAUACAUAGUUACCAAAGAGAGGAAAAGAGCAGAGUCGACGUCGUUAUUGUUACAAGUGUUCUGUUUUUAUCUUUCCCAAAGUCUGUUAUUGGUUACUUAUCAGAUAUUUUCUGUUUCUUGUUUUGUUAGUUUUCUCCUGGUUUUUAGGUUGUAAAACUUUGUUAUAUAAAUAUCAGAACACUUGAUCAGUUUUAAUUGAUCAACCAUUUCAUUUCAUUACAGUCCUGUUAGUGUUUCCUAAACUAACUGUUCAAGAACAUUUUCAAAGCUGAUGACUAUUGCCCAAGCUUGAAACUGGAAGAGAGUGAUUUUGUGAUGCCAAGAAGAAUUUCCUAUUAUGGAGAUUAAUUGCCAAUGACCCACUUCUCAUCAAGGCCAAAAUUCAUGAAUGGAGUGAUGGUGAGGAAUUUCAGAAGGUUCUCCUCAAACUUAUUAACACUAUUUCUACUGGUGAUCAUGAGAUCGAGUCUGUUUUCACUGCACCUCCCUCUAACUCAAAAUAUUAGACCAGUACCAUUUGGAUUAGUGUUAUAAUUAGAAUAUUUAUACCAUGAUUAUUGAAUUGAUCAUCCCUCUUCCCUUUUCAAUUUAGUUUUUCUAUUCAUAUGUAUUUGGAGUCAUGCAUGGUUUAUUUUGGUCUACAACUGCAUAAAACUUUUGACUUAUUUUUUUAGGAUUAAUUAUAAAGCACUAUUUUUUGUAAACUUUUUACAUUUUUAUAUUUAAAGAUUAUUUUUUA